rnacentral:rRNA from 2 species
UACGAAGGGUGCAAACGUUGCUCGGAAUUAUUGGGCGUAAAGCGCACGUAGGCGGCUUAGUAAGUUGGAUGUGAAAUCCCUCGGCUUAACCAAGGAAGUGCAUCCAAAACUACUGAGCUUGAGUACUAAAGAGGAUCGCGGAAUUCCCGGUGUAGAGGUGAAAUUCGUAGAUAUCGGGAGGAACACCAGUGGCGAAGGCGGCGAUCUGGGUAGAUACUGACGCUGAGGUGCGAAAGCGUGGGGAGCAAACAGG